rnacentral:tRNA from 1 species
GCCGCUGUAGCUCAGUGGUAGAGCACACCCUUGGUAAGGGUGAGGUCGUGGGUUCAAGUCCCACUAGCGGCU